rnacentral:rRNA from 1 species
AUUGAACGCUGGUGGCAGGCCUAACACAUGCAAGUCGAGCGGAGCGGCGGACGGGUGAGUGAUGCCUAGGAAUCUGCCAGGUAGUGGGGGAUAACGUCCGGAAACGGGCGCUAAUACCGCAUCCUAUCAGAUGAGCCUAGGUCGGAGUAGAUAGUUGGUGGGGUAGAGGCCUACCAAGGCGACGAUCCGUAACUGGUCAGAGAGGAUGAUCAGUCACACUGGAACUGAGACACGGUCCAGACUCCUACGGGAGGCAGCAGUGGGGAAUAUUGGACAAUGGGCGAAAGCCUGAUCCAGCCAUGCCGCGUGUGUGAAGAAGGUCUUCGGAUUUUAAAGCACUUUAAGUUGGGAGGCGUUACCAGCAGAAUAAGCACCGGCUAACUUCGUGCCAGCCGCCGCGGUAAUAC